AUUGAACGCUGGCGGAAUGCUUUACACAUGCAAGUCGAACGGCAGCCCGGACUUCGGUCUGGUGGCGAGUGGCGAACGGGUGAGUAAUGUAUCGGAACGUGCCCAGUCGUGGGGGAUAACGUAGUGAAAAUUACGCUAAUACCGCAUACGAUCUAUGGAUGAAAGCGGGGGAUCGCAAGACCUCGCGCGAUUGGAGCGGCCGAUAUCAGAUUAGGUAGUUGGUGGGGUAAGGGCCCACCAAGCCAACGAUCUGUAGCUGGUCUGAGAGGACGACCAGCCACACGGGAACUGGGACACGGUCCAGACUCCUACGGGAGGCAGCAGUGGGGAAUUUUGGACAAUGGGCGAAAGCCUGAUCCAGCCAUUCCGCGUGCAGGAUGAAGGCCCUCGGGUUGUAAACUGCUUUUGUACAGAACGAAAAGGUUUCUACUAAUACUAGGAGCUCAUGACGGUACUGUAAGAAUAAGCACCGGCUAACUACGUGCCAGCCGCCGCCGUAA
rnacentral:rRNA from 1 species